UCCGGGGGGGGCAAGCGUUGUUCGGAAUUACUGGGCGUAAAGGGCUCGUAGGCGGCCAACUAAGUCAUACGUGAAAUCCCCCGGCUUAACCGGGGAACUGCGUCUGAUACUGGAUGGCUUGAGUUCGGGAGAGGGAUGCGGAAUUCCAGGUGUAGCGGUGAAAUGCGUAGAGAUGCGGCGGAACACCGAUGGCGAAGGCAGCCCCCUGGGCUGAGAUUGACGCUCAGGCACGAAAGCGUGGGGAGCAAACAGG
rnacentral:rRNA from 1 species